ensembl:lncRNA
GUCAGAGUCAGAGUCGGUGUCAGAGUUAGAGCCAGUCAGAGUUAGAGCCAGUCAGAGUCAGAGCCCGUCAGAGUCAGAGCCCAUCAGAGUCAGAGUUAGAGCCAGUCAGAGUCAGAGCGGUUCAGAGUUAGAGUCGGUGUCAGAGUCGGUCGGAGUUAGAGCCGGUGUCGGUGUCAGAGCCAGAGCCAGUCAGAGUCAGAGCCAGUCAGAGUUAGAGCUAGUCAGAGCAGGUCAGAGUUAGUCAGAGUCGGUGUCAGAGUCGGUCGGAGUCAGAGCCGGUGUCGGUGUCAGAGCCAGUCAGUUAGUCCGAGUCUGUGUCAGAGUCGGUCGGAG